CUGGCUCAGGACGAACGCUGGCGGCGUGCCUAAUACAUGCAAGUCGAGCGAACAGAGAAGGAGCUUGCUCCUUCGACGUUAGCGGCGGACGGGUGAGUAACACGUGGGCAACCUACCUUAUAGUUUGGGAUAACUCCGGGAAACCGGGGCUAAUACCGAAUAAUCUGUUUCACCUCAUGGUGAAACACUGAAAGACGGUUUCGGCUGUCGCUA
rnacentral:rRNA from 1 species